rnacentral:rRNA from 1 species
GAUGAACGCUAGCUACAGGCUUAACACAUGCAAGUCGAGGGGAAACGAUAGAGAAAGCUUGCUUUUUCUAGGCGUCGACCGGCGCACGGGUGAGUAACGCGUAUCCAACCUGCCCAUCACUUGGGGAUAACCUUGCGAAAGUAAGACUAAUACCCAAUGAUAUCUCUAGAAGACAUCUGAAGGAGAUUAAAGAUUUAUCGGUCAAGGAUGGGGAUGCGUCUGAUUAGCUUGUUGGCGGGGUAACGGCCCACCAAGGCGACGAUCAGUAGGGGUUCUGAGAGGAAGGUCCCCCACAUUGGAACUGAGACACGGUCCAAACUCCUACGGGAGGCAGCAGUGAGGAAUAUUGGUCAAUGGACGAGAGUCUGAACCAGCCAAGUAGCGUGCAGGAUGACGGCCCUAUGGGUUGUAAACUGCUUUUAUAAGGGAAUAAAGUGAGUCUCGUGAGACUUUUUGCAUGUACCUUAUGAAUAAGGACCGGCUAAUUCCGUGCCAGCCGCCGCGGUAA